AACCUGCGGAGGGAUCAUUACUGAGUGAGGGCUCACGCCCGACCUCCAACCCUUUGUGAACACAUCUUGUUGCUUCGGGGGCGACCCUGCCGGCACUACGUCGCCGGGCGCCCCCGAAGGUCUCCAAACACUGCAUCUUUGCGUCGGAGUUUAAAACAAAUUAAACAAAACUUUCAACAACGGAUCUCUUGGUUCUGGCAUCGAUGAAGAACGCAGCGAAAUGCGAUAAGUAAUGUGAAUUGCAGAAUUCAGUGAAUCAUCGAAUCUUUGAACGCACAUUGCGCCCUUUGGUAUUCCGAAGGGCAUGCCUGUUCGAGCGUCAUUUCACCACUCAAGCCUGGCUUGGUAUUGGGCGUCGCGGCUCCGCGCGCCUUAAAGUCUCCGGCUGAGCCAUUCGUCUCUAAGCGUUGUGGAUUUUCUAAUUCGCUUCGGAGUGCGGGUGGCCGCGGCCGUUAAAUCUUUAUUCAAAGGUUGACCUCGGAUCAGGUAGGGAUA
rnacentral:rRNA from 2 species